AAAAAAAGAAGCAAAA
rnacentral:sRNA from 1 species